UCCUCAUAUGUCACAAAGUUGUAACAGUGCCAACCCUUACAAGGUCAGUUCCAACCCUGCCUCCUUCAGUAGUCUAUAUACUCUACUCUACUCUCCAAUGUCCUUCUGAGGAUAUCAGUACUUCCAAACAUUUCAUUUCUUUCUGCUGCUGAGGGACCUUGGAAAUAUCCUGAGUCACUGUCUAAGACUGGAAAAAUCCUACCAGAGUACGCUAGAGGAUGCUGUGUGCUGUACUGAGUAGAGGUCAGCCUCCUGGACCAAACGCAUGGCAGAAAAGGACCAAACGCAUGGUAGAAAAGGACCAAACACACGGCAGAAAAGAAUGGAAAUGAGGCGGGGAGACCAAGGAAGAAUAACCAGCACACUGGUCUUUCUCUUGUGCAAGGAUGUGCCACUGUAACCAUAGGAUAUUUCUUUACACAUCUGCAACUGGUUCUCUCAAGGCUGGAAAGGAUUAGAAAUUCUAGAAGAUGGAGUCUAGUCUACGCACAAUUCAAAUUAAAGACCCCUCACACCCCGCCCCUGGGUUUAGAGUUCCAUAGCUCCAACAUAGAAGUGAAACAUUUUCCCCUGGA
rnacentral:lncRNA from 1 species